rnacentral:tRNA from 1 species
GAAGGUGUAGCUCAGUGGUAGAAUGCAUGCUUAGCAUGCAUGAGGUCCUGGGUUCACUCCCCAGUGCCGCCA